UAGCUGGUCUGAGAGGACGAUCAGCCACACUGGGACUGAGACAUGGCCCAGACUCCUACGGGAGGCAGCAGCAGGGAGUAUUGCACAAUGGGCGAAAGCCUGAUGCAGCGACACCGCGUGCGGGAUGAAGGCCUUCGGGUUGUAAACCGCUUUCAGGAGGGACGAAAAUGACGGUACCUCCAGAAGAAGGCCCGGCCAACUACGUGCCAGCAGCCGCGGUAAUACGUAGGGGCCAAACGUUGUCCGGAUUUAUUGGGCGUAAAGGGCUCGUAGGCGGUUCAACAAGUCGAUCGUGAAAGCCCGGGGCUCAACCCCGGGACGCCGGUCGAAACUGUUGUGACUAGGGUCCGGUAGAGGUGAGUGGAAUUCUCGGUGUAGCGGUGGAAUGCGCAGAUAUCGAGAGGAACACCAGUAGCGAAGGCGGCUCACUGGGCCGGUACCGACGCUGAGGAGCGAAAGCAUGGGGAGCAAACAGGAUUAGAUACCCUGGUAGUCCAUGCCGUAAACGAUGAACACUAGGUGUGGCGGACUCAUUGACGUCUGCCGUGCCGAAGCUAACGCAUUAAGUGUUCCGCCUGGGGAGUACGGCCGCAAGGCUAAAACUCAAAGGAAUUGACGGGGCCCCGCACAAGCGGCGGAGCAUGCGGCUUAAUUCGAUUCAACCCGAAGAACCUUACCUGGACUUGACAUCAUGGGUCUACCUGUAGAAAUACGGGGUGCUUAUGCGCCCAUGACAGGUGGUGCAUGGCUGUCGUCAGCUCGUGUCGUGAGAUGUUGGGUUAAGUCCCGCAACGAGCGCAACCCCUGUCCUAUGAUGCCAGCACGUAAUGGUGGGGACUCAUAGGAGACUGCCGGGGAUAACUCGGAGGAAGGCGGGGAUGACGUCAAGUCAUCAUGCCCCUUAUGUCCAGGGCUGCACGCAUGCUACAAUGGGUGGUACAACGGGCUGCAAACCUGCAAAGGUGAGCGAAUCCCUGAAAGCCAUCCCUAGUUCGGAUUGGAGUCUGCAACUCGACUCCAUGAAGCCGGAGUCGCUAGUAAUCGUGGAUCAGCAAAGCCGCGGUGAAUACGUUCUCGGGGCUUGUACACACCGCCCGUCACAUCACGGAAGUCGGUAACGCCCGAAGUCAGUGGCCCAACCCUUCAUUGGGAGGGAGCUGCCUAAGGUGGGAUCGGUGACUGGGAUGAAGUCGUAACAAGGUAGCCGUACGGGAACGUGCGGCUG
rnacentral:rRNA from 1 species